rnacentral:lncRNA from 1 species
UCACCUUUGAAUGCUCUCCCUCUCUCAAACUAUCUAAAAGGUUCCUUAAAACCCUAGCCUCUAUAAUCCUCUUCGACCAUAACCUCACCAGGAUCUAUGGCUUCUCAGGCCAUGGAUGGCCUGCACUUACCCCCAUACACAAGUAAACCCUGGUUGUUUGAAGUUUCGAGGUUUGACCUUAAUGGUGUUCUUUCUAAUCUUCGCAGAUUCAUGGCUUUGAGGCCUCUCCGGCCUCACUCCCGCGUAUCCAAGCAUCAGAAGCCUAUUACUGACCUCUCUGACCGAAGAUUGGACUUUCUUC